GCCGAACCGAGCGACCGUUGUUCAGAAUUACUGGGCGUAAAGGGCUCGUAGGCGGCCAACUAAGUCACACGUGAAAUCCCCAGGCUUAACCUGGGAACUGCGUGUGAUACUGGAUGGCUUGAAUUCGGGAGAGGGAUGCAGAAUUCCAGGUGUAGCGGUGAAAUGCGUAGAUAUCUGGAGGAAUACCGGUGGCGAAGGCGGCAUCCUGGACCGACAUUGACGCUGAGGAGCGAAAGCUAGGGGAGCAAACGGG
rnacentral:rRNA from 1 species